UACGUAGGGCGCAAGCGUUGUCCGGAAUUAUUGGGCGUAAAGAGCUCGUAGGCGGCUUGUCACGUCGGUUGUGAAAGCCCGGGGCUUAACCCCGGGUCUGCAGUCGAUACGGGCAGGCUAGAGUUCGGUAGGGGAGAUCGGAAUUCCUGGUGUAGCGGUGAAAUGCGCAGAUAUCAGGAGGAACACCGGUGGCGAAGGCGGAUCUCUGGGCCUUACCUGACGCUGAGGCGCGAAAGCUAGGGGAGCGAACAGG
rnacentral:rRNA from 1 species